UAGUCAUAUGCUUGUCUCAAAGAUUAAGCCAUGCAUGUCUAAGUAUAAGCGAUUUUUACUGUGAAACUGCGAAUGGCUCAUUAAAUCAGUUAUAGUUUAUUUGAUAAUUCUUUACUACAUGGAUAACCGUGGUAAUUCUAGGGCUAAUACAUGCUAAAAAUCCCGACUUCUGGAAGGGAUGUAUUUAUUAGAUAAAAAACCAACCGAGGCAACUCGUUUUUUGGUGAAUCAUGAUAACUUUUCGAAUCGCACGACUUUAUGUUGGCGAUGGUUCAUU
rnacentral:rRNA from 1 species